GUGCCAGCAGCCGCGGUAAUACGGAGGGUGCGAGCGUUGUCCGGAAUCAUUGGGCGUAAAGGGCGCGUAGGCGGCCACUUCAAGCGUGCGGUGAAAGUCGGGGGCUCAACCCCUGAUCGGCCGUGCGAACUGGGGGGCUGGAGCACUGUAGAGGCAGGCGGAAUUCCGGGUGUAGCGGUGGAAUGCGUAGAGAUCCGGAAGAACACCGGUGGCGAAGGCGGCCUGCUGGGCAGUUAGCUGACGCUGAGGCGCGACAGCGUGGGGAGCAAACAGGAUUAGAUACCCUGGUAGUCC
rnacentral:rRNA from 1 species